rnacentral:misc_RNA from 1 species
UUUCCGUAGGUGAACCUGCGGAAGGAUCAUUAAAAAAUGUGGUACCAAUUAUUGGUACCAAUUAAUCAUCCUACCCUUUGUGUAUUGUUUGUAUGAAUUUUUUUAAAUGGGUCUUUCCCUAAGUUGGAUUGUUAGUAAAAUACAAAAAGACUUAGGGGAAUGACUUUUUUAAAAGACUUUUUUUAAUUAAAACUUUUUGUAUCAUUUGUCUAAAAUUUAUUUUAUAAUAUAAAAACAACUUUUGACAAUGGAUCUCUUGGUUCUCGCAACGAUGAAGAACGCAGCAAAAUGCGAUAAGUAGUGUGAAUUGCAGAAUACGUGAAUCAUCGAAUCUUCGAACGCAUAUCGCACUUUUUUAGUUUACUAAAAAGUAUGUCUGUUUGAGUAUCAGUAAAAUAUUCUCACAAACAUAUAUUGUUGUGGUAUGAGUGUUUUACAACGAUAAACAAGUUGUUUCACUUUAAAUUCUUUUUAAUGAUUUUAUACCAAUUCAUAAAUUAAAAUUGGAUAAAAUUUUCCUUUAACGAGGAAUAACUAAACAAUUUAAAUUUUAUGGAUUAUAAACAUCAUAAAGGAAUCUAUAACAUAAUAACUUGAUCUCAAUCAGAUAAGAGUACCCGCUGAACUUAAGCAUAUCAAUAAGCGGAGGAAAAGAAACUAACAAGGAUUCCCUUAGUAACGGCGAGUGAAGCGGGAAGAGCUCAAAUUUGAAAUCUUCAAGGUUUGACCUUGACGAAUUGUAGUUUAUAGAAGUGUUUCUGUUGGAGUUUUGGUAAAAGUUCUUUGGAAUAGGACAUCAUAGAGGGUGAGAAUCCCGUAUUUGACCAUGACUUUCCAGCUGUGUGAUACACUUUCAAAGAGUCGGAUUGUUUGGGAAUGCAGUCCAAAUGGGUGGUAAAUUUCAUCUAAAGCUAAAUAUUGGCGAGAGACCGAUAGCGAACAAGUACCGUGAGGGAAAGAUGAAAAGAACUUUGAAAGAGAGUUAAACAGUACGUGAAAUUGUCAAAAGGGAAGCGUUUGACACCAGUGUUGUUUCUCGAAAAUCAAUUUAAUGAGUUCUUGUUUUUAAGUUAUUGUGACUUUAUCAGCGCAUUCUUAUUUUACUUGACUCAUUGAAUGCACUUUCGUUUAACAAGUCAACAUCAAUUUCUUUGGUGGUAAAAGUUUAAAGGAAGGUGGCUUGGACUUCGGUUCAAGUGUUUAUAGCCUUUUUCUAUGCCAUCGGAGAGAUUGAGGUCUGCAGCGUAGAUCCUUCGGGGUUAGAUACCUUUGGCUAAGUUAUAGUUUUUUAUAGACAACUUGUUGACUAUAAUUAACCCUGUAAUUUACUCGCUUAGGCUAUUUACCUACGCUUAGGAUGUUGAG